rnacentral:lncRNA from 1 species
CCCUAGCCGCCACACCCAAACGACUCCACACCAAACCAGCUCCCAUCUUCGCUCCUCACUGCUCUCACACACACACACAGAGUCAAAAACAGUGGUGAGAUGGGUUUUCGUUUGAGCGAAGGCCGGGCAGAAUCAUGAUUCCGUUGAGGUCGUCAAUAGAUUUCCGAUCGAGCGUCGUCCAUGCUAGCAAGCCGUUGUAAUUUCAACACAGUUCAUGUUAUAUUAGGUCACAUUCUCGUCCUUUUCUUAUCUCUUUUCUUUGCAAAGGUUUUUUUUAUUGAUAAAAUUCUUGGUAUUGUUGGUUGCAUAAGAUUCUUAGUAUUUUUUUGGACCAGUUGUUUAUACGUUAAUGUUAUAGAGCUUGCUUGAUUUCUCUGUUGUUAACGUGUAUAUACUAGAUUGUGUUUUGGAGCUUAAUUCGCGUGGAAUUCUCACUGAUUAAGGUACUGUAAUUGAAGUCGAACUUUGAGUCCAUGUUGAUCCCUGUUCAAAGUUCGGCACUAUCCGCUAAAGAGCCACCUACAUUCAUUUAAAAAUAUAGUGUCUCCGGCAAAAGAAGAUGUUGAUAUCUAAUUUUUUCCCAUGUAUUUCUAUGCUCAAAAUAUUCCCAAAAUAGCAUGUAGAUGCAUAUAUAAGCAUCCACAAAGGUAUUGGUGUUUUUCUAUAUUUUUUCAAGGAUUUUAAGUUCAAUUUACGACUUAUUUUGCAAUAAAACAUCCAAUAUUUAGUCCCAAAUCUUGUUAUUUUGAUAAGUAAUCUAUUUUAUCCUAUCGAUUACAUAAAAAUAUAAUUCAUAUAAUUUUUAUAGAAUUUUACACGGUCAUUAGGCAUUUCAAAAUUAAAAUUGCAUUAGAUUGAAGUUCUAGCCCAUUUCUCGAUUUAAUAAGUAUGUUAAUUAACAAAUCAUUUCUAAUAUUUUUAAUUAAUACUUAAAUAUAUUUUAUUAACUCAGUAUUUUAAUUGAAUUUUUAUAAUGACAUUUACUAUUUUUAUAAAAUUAAAUUUGGGGAAAAUGAAUAUUUAAAUCAUAGCCGUAGUUAUUACAAUUUUAGCCCAAAUUCCACCCCCAAAUUAACCCCUCCAAUUGCAUGACCCAAUUUAAAUUUACCCGACCCAAACCCUCCAAAACUAACCCGCCCCAUCUUUCCUUUUAAUCGUGGUCGUUGAUCACACAGAUCAACGAUCCACAUCACACCCACCAUAAUUAAACCCGCAAAUGCCCCCUAACCCUAAUCACUUUGCAAACCCCACCUCCCUUCUAUCCCCAAAUGCUCUCUAGCCAUUCUGAACCCUUGUCUGUUCCGGCUCCAUUUCACCGGCGUCCAUGGCCAUUCAAUUCCCAAAACAUCCAUAUCCACCACUCCUCACCUCUCAUGGCUCUUGGGUUCGAAGAUCGGAACCCUAUCUCGAAGGUUAUCAGACCAGAGGCCCUAUGAUUUGAAUUCUGUAGCCGUGUCCGGCCUUUCUCAGGCAAGCCUUGAGGCUAUGAGUCCUUUGCUGACUCAGACUGGUCUGUUCCAGGUGUUUUCGCUAUCUAGAGAUAUUUCUCUGAAACCCUAAUUUUUGAGGUUUUUCUCUGUGUUUAUCCUUAUGAUAUUUUCUGAAUCCUAGUUAUUCUCUAACAAUUUUAAAGUAUUUCUCCCUUUUUCUUCGCCUAUUUUUGUUUUCAAACUGUCGUCUUCUUAAAAUUUAGGGUUUCUCUGAUUUCUCUGAUUUCUCUGAUUUCUUUGAUUUCUUCACUUUAUCUGCUCUACUGUGUGUUCUCCUCUAGUUCUUACUAUGAUGUUGAGUACUUUCUACUAUGGCUUUGAGGCAUUUUUACUUCACUGGGUUAUUUUCUAGGGUUUCGAGUCAAUAUGUUCUUUGCUCUUCAUUAUGUUGUUCUGCUUUUGUUCAUCUUCAUCUAUGUUCUUCAUUAUGCUCUAUAUGUGACGGAAACCCUAAGUUUAAAGGGUUUUAUGCUUUUCUCUGUGUGAUUAAUUGCUUCAUGUUAAACCCUUGCCGCCUCUAAUUUCCUUCUUAUGUGUUUCUGCUACAUGAUUUGUUCUAUAAUUCCAGUUUGCAUGUGCAAAUAUAUGUAUCUCUUUAUAUAGUCACAUUAUCCCCCUUUUCUUAAUAACCCUAAUUUGGGAAAAUUGAUUUCGUACAGCUUGUUUGAUUCUCUAAUUGGGACCUGCUUUCUGACUAAAUUCAAAAUAAUAUAGUAUCUCAAUUCCUUGAUUUUCUAGGUGAUUAACUUGCCGUAUGUGUUUACCCGUAUGAAUUUCAAAACUCUUUACACGUAUUUGCCCUAUAUUUCGUGAUUGGUACUUGAUUUUCUUUCAAAAAAUAAAGUGAGGUUUAUUUACCUCAAGCUUGGUUCCUUAUAUGAAGGGAACCCUUUUCCCUAAUUGGUUGUAAUUGAUACUGAUGGAUAUUUUCUUGCCUUAGUGCUGCUUAUUUUUAAAACUAUAAAUAGCCUUCACCUUUUUUCACUUAGACAGACAGAGAUACACGAACUACUCUAAGUUUACUCACUGAAAACUUUCUCUUCUCUUCUGUUACUUGCUCUAUUGCUGGAGUUAGCCGGCUGAAAGCUAAGGCUAACUAUAGGGAUCCAUCUACCUUACUUGCUUUGUUAUUCAAGUUUGCAAUUGGUAGGCUCUAAAUUUAUAUUAUCAACCUCCAAACUACCUGUUUACUUAACCCUUUUCCUUUGCCUGUUUAUUUUCAAUUAACUUAUUGCAUGCUUCUAGUAGUCUCUUAAUUUAUAUUAUCAACCUCCAAACUACCAGUUUACUUAACCCUUUUCCUUUGCCUAUUUAUGUUCAGUUAAGUAAUUGCAUGCUUAACCCCCUUCCCCCUUUCCCUUGUCUGUCUAUGAUUUCAGUUUAAGUUCAGCAUGCUUAACCCCCUUUUUUAUCCUUUCCCUUGUCUCUUUAUUGUUCAUUAUUAUGGUUUAAGUUCUUAUACACCCAUUUCCCCUGAAUCCCUUUAAUUUAGCCCUGUUCUUUCAAGUUUUCGUAUGUGAUUCCCCAUUCCCUUAACUCGUGUUUGCAUAUAAGUGUGUUUUUGACUAGGGUGGAACCUCAUUGCCACUCCUAGUUUAGAACUAAGGUUGUUAUCAGCCUAUACUCAAAGUAAUAACAUUCCCUAUCCCCCAUAUGAUGUAUUUGAGACUUGACACGGGCCUGUUGGUGUCCUAAUCACCAUACAGGCCCUACUCUGACUUGUUUGCAAGUCUGCUCUUGCCUGUUGAACCAUGUAAGAGGUUAGGGGUGUGCCAGUCUCACUUCAUGGGCCCUAGUCUGACUUGUUUGCAAGUCUGCUCUUGCUUGUUGACCAUGUAAUAGGUUAGGGGUGUUCCAGUCUCACCUCAUGGCUAGGUAUGACCACCUCUUGCAUUGGUCAUCCUCUAAUUCCUCACUUUUAAACUUAUUCCUAGUUCUUUACGUUCUACCCCCAUUUGGUAAGCCAUGCUUAGAGACCCUGGAGUCUCCUCUGAACUUGGAUACCUUAGCACUGCAUUACUCUAAUUUCUUGGGUGUAAGCAUUACCUGGGUUUCCUUGAAAACCCUUUGGACCUUUGUAACACUAAAGAGAUAACCUCGGAUUUGAGAGCCUGGAUUUGGUGAAAGGCAUAUGUUGGACAUUAAAGCUGCUUUGAGCUUCUUCGGGCUUCUUGUAAUUGUUGAUGUAUUUAGCUUAUUUCCUUUAACGUUUUUCUGUCCAGAUUUUGUAAAUAAAUUUGUAUAGAAGAACUCGGGGAUAUAGUGAAAGGUCACAUGGGAGGGGUUUACUUUCUUGCAUCAACUAAUGGUAGAAAUCAUACCUAUAGGUCUACUUCACCACAAGAUCAUAUAGAUACCAUGUCAAUAAGCUUUACAUUAUUGCACAAUAUCAUAUAGAUACCAUGUGUAUAAGGCUUUACAUUAUUGCACAAUAUCUUAUAGACACCAUGUAUAUAAGGCUUUACAUUAUUGCAUUAAUAUCAUAUAGAUACCAUGUCAAUAAGGCAUUUCAUUAUUGCAUCAAUCUCAUGAUAGAAACCAUGAAUGUAGGGCUUGCAUUAUCGCAUCUCGUAUAGAAACCAUGCCUAUAAGAUUAAUGUCAUAUAUCAUAUAGAAACCAUGCUUAUAGGUUUUCAACAUUGCAUCUCGCCUAGAAAGACAUGCCUAUAGGAGCUGUAUAAAACGCUAUGCAAACAGCAGGUCGACUAAAACGUUUUAAGAAGUAACAAAAAGGGUCAGUGUGCAUGUUAUAAGGUCCAAACUCGCCCAGUGCUUAAAACGUUUCAGUGAAGUUAUCCAAAAUCUGUGUACUUUUAAACGGGCCCAUGUCUUCCCUUUUACACUACUAUACUAAGUGUGCGGCUUUGAACUACUUUGUCUGCCUAAGUUUAAUACUUUAAUGUACUUUCUUGCAUCCUUUUUACUCAAACAGCCCAGCUAAAUUGUAAGUCAUUUCUAAACCUUGCUGCAACUUCAACUCUUUUUUUCACAGACCAAUGUCUGAAACUAAUGUUCUCCUCUAAGAUUAACUUACUUUCAAAAACUGUCAAUUCCUAAAAUAGGUCUGGGGAGCUCGAAGUAGAUUAUAUAUCCAACUUUUAUGUGUUAAACUAAUCUGUCUGCUCUUCUAACCUCUUUUAAAGACCAAAUAAGUAUUUUAAGUCAUGCUAAACUAGUUGUUGUUAUGUUACAGGCUUUUAUCUUAGCCUUUGACUGUCUUACAUACAUCUUAUGUGCUAUUUGUUUUGCUUAUCGUUCUAGUAUUUUUACCUUUGAAAACUCCAUAUAUAUCCUAUCUCUCUAUCCCCCCUCCUAGGAUUAGAAUUCCUAAUACCCCAGGACUAACAGGUUGGGAUGGGUAUUAACAUGCAAUAAGUAAACGAUACCAACGCGUUUAAAUACAUUAACGGGGCGGGAAGGGUAGAAUAUGGAGAUCAUGACCGGUGCGCUAAUACCAUAUGCGAACCCUCUUUGAGGCGUGUGUGCGGAGUAUUCAACGAUGUGAUCCAUAUAAUAGUCAAACCUAGGACCUUCUUUCCUUUGCUUGCUUUAUUUACACGUUUUUCUAAAGUAAUGCUUUCUUUUAAAAUCCAUUCUCUCUUCUAUUUUAUCUAAAUUAUGUCUUUCCCUUUUCAAAAUUCCUAAGUUGUCCAAAUGUUUAUAUGUGAAAAUUAUCUGUCUACUUGCUUCAUCUCUUCAUAAAUUCACAUUAGCAUGGACGGGAGCCACACUAGUGGAUCUUGAGGGGUGCCUAAAUCAUUCCCCUCGAGAUAAUCUCAAGCCCUUACCUGAACGCUGGUUUUCUUUCAAAAUACUCCGCUCAUCCUUAAAAGUGUCCUAAUGCACUAUAAUAAUUAGGUGGACAUUCUUCAAAUUCCAUAACCCAAUUCCCAUAUGGGAAUGAGAGUUAUUUUUCCCAUAAUGUCGUAAAACCCGAUUUCGCUUUUGAAAAAGGGGGCGUUGAUAGCAUGGCGACUCUCCUGGGGAUUUUUCUUUAAGGUUUUUACCAUUACGUGUUUUGUGACUAUUGCUUUCUUUACUACCUUUAUUUAUUUAAUCAUUUUAUUCGUAAUUACUAACUUGUUUCUUCAUGUCUUCCUUUUUUCAAUUGUUUUACUACUUUAUUGCCUUUACUUUAUUUCAAUUCCGUCUUAAAUUCCGAGAAUCUAUUGUAAUCAUUAUUGUAUGAACGUGAAAAUACAUGUACUUAUUUCACUAUUGUAAUUGCAUCCUUCAACAUCAUUUUCCACUCGUGCCAAAUAAAUUCCACAGCAACACUUAUAAUGUGUGGUUGGGCUCUUUCAAUAUUAUUAACCCCCUAAAUUUGGCAAAGGCUUAUUUGGCGGUAAAACCAGUCGAUCAACGGUGUAGUCUACGGUUCUGUGCCUUUCCCUCUUGAGUUGUCCGCUCAAGGGUACCUUGUCUAGCACCUCAAAAGUAGAAACCUUACUCUACUUAAUUGUUCAUGUGUCGUGGUAAAACUAGCCGAGUCAGUUAUGUCGUCGGCAUAAUGACUCAAUAAGAUAGCCUAAACCAAAAGUCCAUCGGGUUUCCUUGAAAUCCAAACGGACGCCUUCACGUUAUGUACAUUUAUAUGGAGAACUAAAUACCAUAUUGCUAAUUAUUGAUUUAAAUAGUCGAAUCUGGUGGGGUUAGGGCCUAACACUCUAUUUUGAAGAAAAUUAGGCACGAGGUCCCCAGAUUUUGAAUGGUAUCAAACAUUCACCCAAAGUUACUAAGCCGGUGGGAGGAUUUGCAUGGUAGUAACCAAAUUGUUGUUCGCAAGCACUUAGGGAAUCGUCCUUCACUCCUGGAAGUUAGGCCGGACAACAAGAUUAUGGAAGCUGCCACUCUAUUUUGGGAAAGUGAAGUUUUCCGUUUCGGGGAUAAAAACGACUCUGCUGCUGGAAGAAAUUGGGGGUCUAACCGGGAUUCCCUAGGAUAGUCUGGGUCUGCUUAUGCCAGAAAACCGCAAAGGUAGAGGGUUCCUGAAAAUGUUGGGACUCAAGAAAAUCCCAAUCUGACCAGUCUGAAGGACCCCUACAUAUCCUUCGACUUCAUGUACGAAAGGUUCGGACAUAGAAAAUCCUAUCGCACUCAUAUGGACGAAUUCACCCUCACCUCUUUGGGGCACAUACAUAGGAGGGCCUUUGUAUUCAUGUUUUGUUUCCUGGGAAUGAUAGUGUUUCCAUUGAAGAAGGCUACGAUCCAUACAAGGCUAGCCAUGGUAACCAAAGCUGUAAUGAAGGGUAUCGACGGGAAAACUUUCAGCAUAGUGCCUAUGAUCCUCGCCGAACUGUACCGGGCUUUAGAGCAGUGUCAACGAGGGGCACCACACAUCGAAGAGUGCAAUUUGCUACUACAACUCUAGCACAAUGAAUAUCUUCAGAAGGGAGAUUAUAGAUAGGAGAUCAUACACCGAGACUGGGAUGACCAUAUCGCUUUUCAUCAUCCAAAGCGAAUGUGCUUCAUACCAGAUAUGCUCGCUUACCCGGAAGACUCCAGCGGAUGGGUAGAACUACUGAAAAUCUGAACGAAGAGCAGGUACAAUGGAUAUACGAGUGGUAUCCAACUGAAGAUUUUAUCAUUCGGUCUGGGGAUGCACAAUUCCUUGUGCUUAUUGGCUUAAUAGGAACUUACCCUUAUGUCCCUCUUCGAGUCAUGAGGCAAGAAGGAAGAAAGCAGAUUAUACCGAGGGUUGAAAAGAUGAGUCACUACAGGGCCGACUUCCAAGACAAUGGUAGCCCACACAGGUGUCAGACUCAGCAUACGUGGCACUCUAAGCUCAUCUUGGAAAAGGAGUCUAUGGAACCAGACAUGUAUUAGGAUAUGUGCGCGCCACUUUAUCCGGGAUGGUUAGAAGACGAUCAUAUUGGCUUGGGAAGCCGGGUUUCAUCCAUAGUCAUAGACUUAUUGAUGAGAAGACUGCAGCCAUGGUCAAGUACAAUCAGCUACACAAACGGAUGAGAGAGUGUGAAGGUGAGCAUCGGGAAAUACAAGAGGCCCAAGAGAAGCUAAUCAAUGAAUGGAAGGACACGGCUGUCCAUGCAAACAAACGUCUAGGGUACUUGGAGCGAGGUUUAGUGGAGCUGGAAGGCAAGUUUCUGAAAAGGAUCAACGACUUUCAAGAAUCUGAAGGUAAUGACGGUGGGCACUUGGCUCGGGCUUACUUGUUGCUAGGACUGCGCAAGUUGAAGCAGUUGUACGAGGGAGGCAAAGAUAUCAAAUAUGGGGAAGGUCCUUCUGGGACCAAGUAGUUAGGAUUUUACCUCUUUCUUGAUGUAAUAAGGCCACUGUAAAUUAGUAACAAUUUCUCUUUAUUUCGGUUUGUUUUUUACUCGUUCUAUUUGUUAUUAAUAAAAUGAGGCACUUGGUGUUGUAAGUUCUCCAAAUUCUAUCAGUCGCUAGGCCUACCUCGGGCACAACGAGGCACCUAAAUAGGAAAUGACUUAUGUUCCUACAACAGUGUGCUUAAAUACCACAAUGUUUUCUUUCUCAGAAUCCACACAAACUUCUUACCUUUUGUUUUUCCUUUUUGCUAUUCCCCUCCCCAAAGGUUAGUACAUGCGCUCUGGCACCAUCAGCAUACUCAACAAGAUCUAAGGGUCCUCCUCCUCCUCCUCCGACGAGUCCCCCCCAGAAAGAGGAACUAAGGAAAGAUGGGAGAUAAUGAAGCAAGAAAGGAAAUUGAAGGAAUUUCCCAGGGUACCCCAAUCACCAAAGAGACUACUGCUCAUUUGGAGCAAACUUUGCUAAGGUUUCGAGAGGAACUAGACCAGGUCCAGAGUUUGACAAGUUUGUCCAUCUCCCUAGCUGCUGCAGAUGUCAACAAUCAGGUCCCUGCACCUCCGCAAAAGACCCCAGCCCAAGCUCGCAACAGUGCUCCACCGCUCAUUCCUGAGCCCAAAAAUGCUCUGAACCACCAAGAUACCCCUAUCCUUGUGGAUACUGUGUCGUACUAUACACGGCCCAUAUCAGAUGUGUCAAAAUCAAAUUAACUCAUUCAGAACUUGGCUGCUGAACUCAAGAAACUCACUAGUAAGGUUCAAGGCGUGGAAGGUAACAAGGGUGUGGAAGGUAUGAAUUAUGAAAACCUUUGUGUUCAACCUGAUGUCGAACUCCCAGAGGGGUACAAAACUCCUAAGUUCGAAAUGUUCGAUGGUACGGGUGAUCCCAGGGUUCACCUCAGGAUGUAUUUUGACAAGUUAGUGGGAGUUGGUAGAGAUGAAAAGAUCCGCAUGAAACUGUUUAUGAGGAGCUUGAAAGGUGAUGCUUUAUCUUGGUAUGUCAGCCAAGAUGCCAAGAAGUACACGAGUUGGGUAAACAUGGCAUCCAAUUUAAUGAAACGUUUUAGGUUCAAUACUGAGAAUGCAUCGGAGGUUUCAUAUAACUAGAAUUUGAAGAAAAAGCCCACCGAAACCUUUCGCAAGUAUGCUACUUAUUGGAGGUUAGGAAGUUGCCAAGGUUUGACCGGCUUUGGAAGAAAUGCAUGAAGCUGUUCAUGAGGAGCUUGAAAGGAUCUUGGUAUAUCAGCCAAGAUGCGAAGAAAUGGACAAGCUGGGUGAACAUGGUGUCCGAUUUCAUGGAUAGUUUCAAAUUCAACACUGAGAAUGCGCCAGACGUAUUCUAUAUCCAGAAUUUGAAGAAGAAGCCUACUGAAACCUUUCGCGAGUAUGCUACUUUUGGAGGUCGGAAGUUGCCAAGGUCAGACCGGCUUAGAAAGAAGAACGAAUGAACGGGUUUUUCGUCCGUGCUCAGGAUUCGCAGUACUACAAGAGAAUGAUGUUGAUAGAGGGGCAGAAGUUCUCUGAUAUCAUCAAACUGGGAUAAAGGGUCGAAGAGGGCAUCAAAAAUGGUAUGGUUACUAACCAUGAGGCACUUCAGCCACCAACAAAGCCUUACAAUCCGGUGGUACGUGGAAGAAAAGGGAUGUAAACUCCAUAAUGGGUGUGCAGAGAAACCACUCUCCCAUGAAAUACCAACCCUACCCUCCAACUCCACUCACAUACCAACNNNNNNNNNNNNNNNNNNNNNNNNNNNNNNNNNNNNNNNNNNNNNNNNNNNNNNNNNNNNNNNNNNNNNNNNNNNNNNNNNNNNNNNNNNNNNNNNNNNNNNNNNNNNNNNNNNNNNNNNNNNNNNNNNNNNNNNNNNNNNNNNNNNNNNNNNNNNNNNNNNNNNNNNNCACAUACCUAUCAAAAUCCACCACCCGUCUACCAAUCAUCUCCAUCACCAACAUAUCAGCCUACCUCGCUAGGAUAUUCCCAACCCGCACCUGUAUAGCAUGCAUACAACUCCCAACCUCCUCACUAUCCAUCACCAACUACCUGCCAAAACAUCGCACAACCAAGACCAAAUUUUGACCACAAACAGCCCAGACAAUACACUGCUAGUGCCGAACCCAUUGACCAACUGUAUGAGAAGCUCAAAGCCGUUGGAUAUGUUACACCCAUCACAUCCAUAACCCCAGAAAACCCUUCCCAAUGGAUCAACACAAAUAAAACCUGCGCUUACCAUUCGAGGAUGAAAGGUCAUAUCAUUGACGAGUGUCACUCGUUGAAAGACAAAAUUCAGACCUUAAUUGACAACAAUGUCAUCGUAGCUAAGGAGCCUACUUAUAAUGUUCGUAACAACCCUCUACCGAACCACAAGGGUGGAGGCAUCCACAUGAUUGAGGUUGAGGACGACUGGGACCGCAAAGGGUAAAUCGAUUUGAUAUCUGAAGGAGAAGAGCCCAAGAAGCUGGCGAUCACUCUUAAUCCUAUUGUUGUACAGAUACAGCCAUCUGAGGGCGACGUGGGGAAUGUAUCUGUACCAUUUGAGUUCUAGGAACCUCUUGCAAAGGAGCCCAAACCAAUUGAGGUGGAUUUUGGGACUCCAAAGGCGUCCGCACCGAUUGAAGUUACUAUGUUGCCUCCAUGGGUGCCCAUUCCGAUCACCAUGUCAGACAUAACCCCAUUUCAGUCAAAUGCCAUACCUUGGGACUACAUAGCCGAGGAGAGAAGGAAAGGAAAAGCACGCACGGAUGAAGUAACUGUUGUACAAGGUAUGACUAGAAUAGGUAUUCUAGCCUAGUUUAGUCCAGCAAACAAGCCUCUGGACGUCCUGUCGAAACCGGACCUGAUGGCCUCUGGAAGAAGAUACAGGCCAAGGAAUAUUCAGUUGUUGAACAGCUAAACAAGACUCCAGCGCAGAUUUCCAUCUUGGCGUUGCUGCAGAGAUUCGAGGCGCAUAAGAACGCCUUGAUGAAUAUAUUGAGCGAAGAUUAUGUUCCCAGCAACAUAACAGGAGGAGUGAUGGCGAACAUGGUAGGGCAGAUAUUGGAGAGUCACAAAAUACUUUCUACAAGGAUGAAUUACCACCUGAAGUGCUCGGACAUAACAAAGCACUAGACAUCAAUGUGCAAUGUGAAGAUCAUUUCAUCACCAGUAACUUAAUCGACGAAGAUUCUAGCCUCAACAUUUGCCCAUUGAUCACCCUCAAGAAGUUGGGCAAAGGAUUGCACGAGUUAAAAGAUGAGGCUAUCAACGUUAAAGCUUUCGACGGUUCUCAGAGGUCCACCCUCGGGGAGAUUAGCCUGUGUUUGCAAAUGGGGCCUACUUGGUUUGAUGUUGAUUUCCAAGUCAUCGNNNNNNNNNNNNNNNNNNNNNNNNNNNNNNNNNNNNNNNNNNNAGAGAUAAAAGACGGGGCUAUUAAUGUUAAGGCUUUUGAUGGUUCUCAGAGGUCUACCCUCGAGGAGAUUAGCCUAUGUUUGCAAAUAGGGACCGCUUGGCUUGAUGUCGAUUUCUAUGUCAUCGACAUACCAUCAUCUUACAACCUAUUGCUGGGACGACCCUGGAUCCACGCCGUUGGGGCUGUGGCAUCGACCUUACAUCAGGCCGUGAAAUAUUAGUGGAACCAUCAUGAGGUAAUCAUCCAUGGCAAUGGUAGCAACCCCAUAUACAGACGCCAGGCCAUUCCGAUGAUCGGAGGUAGAAGAAGGAUAGGCGGAGAAAUAUACCAUCAUAUUGAGCGAGUCAACGCAGUGGAUAAAGAGAAAUGGUGGAGCAACAAGGUCGAAAGCAUUCUGAAUUGGACUGGUAUGAACCGGGAAAAGGGCUAGCAAGAAUCUUCAGGGCAUCACCAAACCUAUCCAGUUGAAGAACAUGGUACUACCUUCGGACUAGGAUACGAGGAAAAUUGGGAAGAGUUCAAAGACUGGUCACCACCAUGGCGCGGCUCGUAUUAUCCAUUGAAAUACCCCUUACCUUAGUUGGAGCAGACAUUUCAGCCAACCAACACUCUCUACGGGUCAGAAGAAGACGAGGCUCUUGCGGCAAUGAAGAACCUAUUUCUGGNNNNNNNNNNNNNNNNNNNNNNNNNNNNNNNNNNNNNNNNNNNNNNNNNNNNNNNNNNNNNNNNNNNNNNNNNNNNNNNNNNNNGAUAUACGCCAAACUCAGGUUCCCGUGCACUAAAAAUAUGAAGGCCCUUCCAUUCAGGCUGUGAACCAAGGGGUACACCUCAUCAAUUGGUCAAUCAGGACCACCACUGCCCGAAAAUCUUCGGGCAUUACUAUUACGUAUCUUGAUGAUGAACCGACAACUGUAACUUGCAACGAGGCUAUGCAAGGAACGGACAUAGACUCGGAGGAAGAUGAUAUACCAGAAGAGGUUGUAAGAGAGGCCGAGAAUUUUGAGAAUAGGCCUAAGUCCAACUUGGAUGAAACAGAGUUCGUCAAUUUGGGAGAUACAGAGAAUGUCAAAGAAACGCUCAUCAGUGUGCACUUAUCACAGACAAAAAAAGAGGAAUAUACAGAGUUCUUAAGGGAAUAUAAGGAUAUAUUUUCAUGGUCUUACGACAAUAUGACUGGUCUCAUCACAUCCAUCAUCGCCCACAAAGUUUCCGACAGACCCUGCAUGUCCGCGUGUAAAACAGAAGCUCAGAAAAUUCAAGCCAGAUAUGAGUUUAAAAAUCAAAGAGGAGGUUACCAAGCAGGUCAAAGACAGAGUUCUUCAACUGGUAGAGUACCAAACCUAGUUAGCUAUCAUCGUGCCAGUACCGAAGAAGGAUCAGAAAGUCGGAGUCUGCGUCAACUACCGGGAUCUCAACCGGGCCAGUCCCAAAGACGAUUUUCCUUUGCCAAACAUACACAUUCUGAUCAACAACUAUGCCAAGCAUGAGUUGCAGUCAUUCGGCGAUUGCUUUGCGGGGUACCAUCAGAUAUGGAUGGAUGAAGAAGAUGCAGAGAAAAUGGCGUUUAUCACACCAUGGGGAAUGUAUUGCUAUAGAAUUAUGCCAUUAGGAUUGAAGAAUGUGGGAGCUACUUAUAUGAGGGCCAUGAAUACCCUCUUCCAUGACAUGAUACAUAUGGAGAUUGAGGUAUAUGUGGACAACAUCAUCAUCAAGUCUAGGAAGGGUGCAGAUCAAAUGGAGGACCUCCGAAAGUUUUUCAACAGACUCAGGAGGUAUAACAUGAAACUGAAUCCCACCAAGUGUGAAUUUGGGGUCCCUACGGGAAAGUUAUUAGGUUUCAUCAUGAGCCUCCGAGGAAUAGAGUUGGAUCCGUUAAAAUUCAAAUCUAUUCAAGAGUUGCCACCGCCGAAAAACAAGAAAGAGGUAAUGAGUUUCUUGGGGAGACUCAACUAUAUCAGCCAGUUCAUAGCUUAGUCUACCAUCAUCUGCGAACCUAUCUUAAAGAUGCUAAAGAAGGAUGCCGCCACCAAAUGGACCGAUGAAUGUCAAAAGGCUUUUGACGGGAUCAAGGAAUACUUGUCUACGCCUCCAGUCCUGGUUCCACAUGAGCCUGGAAGGCCUUUAUUGUUCUAUCUUGCAGUUUUGGAUGGAGCAUUUGGUUGUCUCUUGGGACAAUUCCAAUCCUUGUUCCGGCGGAGCCUGGGAGGCCUUUAUUGCUCUAUCUUGAAAUUUUGGAUGGAACAUUUAGUUGUGUCUUAGGACAACUUGAUGAGACGGGGAGAAAGGAGCAAGCUAUUUACUACCUCAACAAGAAAUUUACCCCGUACGAGGCUCGGUAUUCCUUACUAGAACGCACCUGUUGUGCUUUGAACUGGCUAGCUCAGAAAUUGAGGCAUUAUUUCUGUGCUUACACUACCUACCUUAUAUCAAGAAUGGAUCCGCUAAAGUAUACUUUUCAGAAGCCCACGCCCACUAGCAAGCUCGCCAAGUGGCAAAUUUUGUUGAGUGAAUUCGACAUUGUCUGUGUCACCCAGAAAGGAGUUAAAGGACAGGCUUUGGCAGAUCAUCUCGCAGAAAAUCCUGUAGGAGGGGAGUACAAACCUUUGAAGAUGUAUUUUCCUGAUGAGGAAGUAGCUUUCAUAGGAGAAGAUAUUGCAGAAUCCUAUGACGGUUGGAGGAUGUUUUUCGACGGAGCCGCAAAUUUCAAAGGAGUUGGUAUCGGAGCAGUCCUGGAAUCAUAAACCAGUCAACAUUACCCGAUAUACGCCAAACUCAGGUUCCCGUGCACCAAUAAUAUGGCCGAGUGCAAAGCCUGCAUCUUAGGGCUAAAACUAGCCAUUGAUAUGAACAUUUAGGAGCUGCUAGUGAUUGGAGAUUCGGACGUGCUCAUACAUCAGGUUCGAGAAGAAUGGGCUAUCAAGAAUUCUAAGAUACUCCCUUAUCUUCAUCACAAACAGGAGUUGAGGAAGAGAUUCAGAAAGACAGAAUUCCAGCAUGUUCCAAGAAUGCAUAAUGAGUUUGCAGAUGCGCUUGCCACUUUAUCAUCCAUGAUUCAGCAUCUAGAUACAAACUUUGUCGACCCUAUCCAGAUCAAGAUUCAUGAUCAACCAGCAUAUUGUGCCUGCAUCGAGGAGGAAGCUAACGGAAAGCCCUGGUUCCACGACAUCAAAGAUUACAUAACAACAAGAGAAUAUCCGUAGCUUGCUAAUGCUACUCGGAAGCGCACGCUUCGAAGGUUGUCCAACAAUUUCUUUCACAGCGGAGGAAUCUUGUAUAGGAGAACUCCCAAUUUGGGACUAUUAAGGUGUGUCGAUGCGACAGAAGCAACCAAGUUAUUGGAGGAAGUGCACUCAGCGACUUGUGGGCCGCACAUGAACGGUUUUGUUCUAGAUAAAAUGAUACUCCAAGUAGGAUAUUUCUAGAUGACAAUGGAGACGGGCUGCAUUUCGUAUGUACGAAAGUGUCACCGCUGUCAGAUACAUACGGAUAUGAUAAAGGUACCUCCGAACGAGCUCACUGCAACGACCUCACCGUGGCCAUUCACUGCCUGGGGAAUGGAUGUUAUUGGACCAAUCGAGCCUACCGCAUCAAAUGGACAAAGAUUCAUCUUAGUGGAAAUCGAUUACUUCACUAAAUGGGUUGAAGCAACCUCAUACAAAGCAGUAACCAAGAAAGUCGUGGCAGACUUUGAGGAGAUCAUAUUGUCUGUCGGUUCAGGAUUCCAGAAUCAAUCAUCAUUGAUAAUGAAUCCAAUCUCAACAACGACUUGAUGAGAGCAAUGUGCGAAAAUUUUAGGAUCAGACACAAAAAUUCUACAGCCUAUAGACCUUAGAUGAAUAGAGCCAUGGAAGCAGCCAACAAGAACAUCAAGAAAUAUUAUGGAAAAUGAUCGAAAGGCACAAGCAGUGGCAUGAGAAGUUGUCAUUCGCUUUAUUAGGCUAUCAUACUACGGUUCGCACAUCAACCGUGCAACUCCCUACAUGUUGGUAUACGGUACAGAGGCGGUCAUUCCCACCGAGGUAGAAAUUCCAUCCUUGAGAAUCAUACAAGAAGCGGAGCUAGAUGAUGCAGAAUGGGUCAAGGGUCACUACAAGUAGUUAGCCUUAUAGAUGGAAAGAGAAUGAAUGUGGUUUGCCACGGUCAUAUAUUCUAGAACAGAAUGUCCAAAGCCUUCAACAAGAGAGUUUGACCAAGGAAGUUCACACCGGGACAGCUGGUGUUAAAGAAGAUAUUCCCACAUCAACAUGAAGCCAAAGGUAAAUUCUCUCCCAACUGGCAAGGUCCAUACAUGGUUCACCGGGUUCUAACUGGAGGAGCCCUUAUUCUCGCGAAAAUGGACGGAGAAGUUUGGCCAAAACCGAUCAACUCGGAUGUAGUGAAGAGAUACUACAUUUGAUUGUAUGCCUUUCUUUAUGAUGUAAUUUGAACUACGCCUGACCUGAUUCCCGUUUAACAGGGUGAUACGUAGGCAGCCCUAUGGGUUAUCUUUAAUAAAAUUCCAUUUUCCCCCCGCAUUUGGAACUAGGGCAGAAUUUUGAGGAGGACCCUCAAAAUUCCGAAAUCAGUUUGCUAGUUUCCGCAUCAACGUCAACCUAGUAAACUGGGGCAGAAUUUUGAGGAGGACCCUCAAAAUUCCGAGGUCGAUCUGUUUUCAACCAUUCAGCACCACCAUCAACAGCGCCAUCUUAGUAAAUAGGGGUAGAAUUUUGAGGAGGACCCUCAAAAUUCCUGAGCCACCAAGAUUGCCGUGCCUUGAACCACGUUGCAGUUGUGGUUCAGCAUAAAACAAAACUAUCUUUUCUCUACUUACAUAUAUCCAUUUGCAUCAUGAUAGUCAUUUAGCACCGCCCGUCAACAGCGCCAGCCCAGUAAACUGGGGAAGAAUUUUUGAGGAGGACCCUUAAAAUUCCGGAGCCAGCAAGGUUGUCGUGCCUUGAACCACGUUGCAGUUGUGGUUCAUCAUAAAAACAAUAUUAUCUUUUUCUUUACUCAUAUAUAUGUUGAUACCCAAUUUUUUCCUAUGUAUCGUUGUACCCAAAAUGCUUUCAAAAUAGCUUGUGAAUGCAUAUAUGAGCAUCCACAAGAGGUUUGGUAUCUUUCUAAAUUUUUUUUAGCAUUUUAAAACCAAUUUAUAAUAUAUUUUUGUUAAAUUUGCAUAAAAUCAUUUGGAUCACUAUCUUUCAGCAACGCUGCCCCAAAUUGUACAAGACGCCACUAGCCAAGGGAUGCGAACCAACCUCCCCCCGUACUGAAAGCACGAUUUUUCUUUGGAUACAAGAAUUCAGAAUACAAAUAGGCAAUGCAUGUGCUUUACAAAACUGAAAUUCCCGAACCACUACUUACUUCACAAAGGUUUACUAUUUAUAUUCAACACUUCCCCAGCAGUCAUGAUAUCGCAAUCAUCUACAAGCUAAGAAAAUUACCGCCAUCCUCUCUUUUAUAUUUCUGCAUUUUGCAUAAGGAUAUUCUUUUCCUUACGAGGUUAAGCUCUACCUCCAUCCUACAUAAGGCUAUCUUCUUCCUUUCGAGACUAAGCCCUGUCUCCAUCUGCAUUUUGCAUAAGGCUAUUCUCUGCCUUCCGAGGUUAAGCUCUACCUCCAUCCUGCAUAAGGGUAUCUUCUGCCUUUCGAUACUGCCAUGUCUCCAUCUGCAUUUUGCAUAAGUAUAUUCUCUGCCUUCCGAUAUUAAGCUCUACCUCCAUCCUGCAUAAGGCUAUCUUCUGCCUUUCGAGACUAAGUUAUGUCUCCAUUUUUGCAUCAGGCUAUUCUGUGCCUUCUGAAGUUAAGCUUUACCUCUUUUAUUUUACAUUUAACUGAAAGAUCGCCACCCUGUUUCAUAUUGCUGAAAUAUUGCCGCCCUGCAUUUUAAAUUCCUGGUCGGCUGAAAAAUCCCCAGCCCUUGCAUUCAUUCGGCUGAAAUAUUACCACCUUUUCGUGGGCUGAAAUAUUACCAACUUAUUCAAAGGCAUCAUAGUUCGGAGGCACCAUCUGCAUAGCCCGAGAACACUAUUUCAUUGACUUCGAAUCUUUACUUACAUGCUCCGCAUAGCCCAGGACGUCGUAGCCCGAGGGUGCCAUCCUAAUCGUCCGAAGAAAACAUUCGUGGUCCAAAGGGAACUUGCAUCGCAGUUUAAAAUAUGCAAUAUAUACGCACAUCAUUCAUUUGCAGGUACACCGGCUGGCAUGGCCACCACAGCAAGAGCGGUCCUGCUUCAGUUCUCCACAACCCGUCUCAUCUUUGAACCCUUGACAAAUCUCAAACCCCUUGCGUCUGCCUUUUCCAAACUUUCAUUGUCAUAUCCCACCAAUGGUUCCUUAACUACAUAUUCCUGUAAAACCAGGAAAAUGUAGGCAUCAUAGAAGCUAGAGCCCAGUCGAAGUUCUCUUACAGUCGUCAUUUCCAGUCAAAAUUUGUCUUCUUAUCUUUACCCGACAACUCUUUCAUCCUCUCGGGUAAAAAGGGGUAGUUGUUGAUACCCAAUUUUUCCCCAUAUAUUUCUACACUCAAAAUAUUCCCAAAAGAGCAUGUAGAUGCAUAUAUAAGCAUCCACAAAGGUCUUGGUAUUUUCCUACACUUUUCCAAGGAUUUUAAAAUUUAUUUAUGACUUAUUUUGCAAUAAAAGAUCCAAUAUUUCUUGUUAUUCUGAUAAGUAAUCUAUUUUAUCCUAUCAUUUAAAUAAAAUAUAAUUUAUAUAAUUUUUACAGAAUUUUACAAGGUCAUUAGGCAUUUCAAAAUUAAAAUUGCAUUAGAUUGAAAUUCUAGCCCAUUUCUCGAUUUAAUAAGUAUUUUAAUUACCAAAUCAUUUCUAAUGUUUUUAAUUAAUACUUAAAUAUAUUUUAUUAACUCGGUAUUUUAAUUGAAUUUUUGUAAUGACAUUUAUUAUUUUUAUAAAAUUAAAUUUGGGGAAAAUAGCUAUUUAAUUCAUAUCCUUAGUUAUUUCAAUUUUUGCCCAAAUUCCACGCCCAAAUUAACCCCUCCAAUUACAUGACACAAUUUAAAUUUACCCGGCCUAAACCCGCCUAAACUAACCCGCCCCAUUUUUCCUUUUAAUCAUGGUCGUUGAUCACAGAGAUCAAUGCUCCACAUCAAACCUACCAUAAUUAAACCCCCAAAUACCCCCUAAUACUAAUCACUUUGCAAACUCAGUUUUCCUUGUAUCCCCAAAUGCUCUCUAGCCCUUCUGAACCCUAGUCUGUUCCGGCUCGGUUUCACCGGCGUCUAUGGUCGUUCAAGGCUCUUAAUUUAUAUUAUCGACCUCCAAACUACCAGUUUACUUAACCCUUUUCCUUUGCCUAUUUAUGUUCAUUUAAGUUAUUGCAUGCUUAAUCCCCUUCCCCCUUUCCCUUGUCUAUUUAUGAUUUCAGUUUAAGUUCAGCUUGUUAACCCCCUUUUUACCUUUCCCUUGUCUGUUUAUUGUUCAUUAUUAUAGUUUAAGUUCCUGUACACCCCUUUCCCCUGAACCCCUUUAAUUUAGUCCUGUUUUUUCAAGUAUUCUUAUGUGAUUCCCCCUUCUCUUAACCCAUGUUUGCAUAUGAGUGUGCCUUGGACUACGGUGACACCUCAUUGCCACUCCUAGUUUAGAAGUAAGGUUUUUAUCUACCUAUACUCAAAGUAAUCCCAUUCCCUAUCCCCCAUACUAUGUGUUUGAGCCUUGACACAGGCNNNNNNNNNNNNNNNNNNNNNNNNNNNNNNNNNNNNNNNNNNNNNNNNNNNNNNNNNNNNNNNNNNNNNNNNNNNNNNNNNNCUCCCCAUCCCUUAUAUUAUGUGUUUGAGCCUUGACAAAGGCCUUUUGGUGUCCUAAUUACCAUACAGGCGCUAGUCUGACUUAUUUUCAAGUCUGCUCUUGCUUGUCGAACCAUGUACGAGUUUAGGGGUGUGCCAGUCUCACUUCAUGGCUAGGUAUGACAACUUAUUGCAUUGUCCUUCUUCUAAUUCCUCACUUUUCCACUUAUUCCUAGUUCUUUAAGUCCUACCCCCCUUUGGUAAGUCAUGCUUAGGGACCCUGGAGUCUCCUCUGAACUUGGAUGCCGAACGGCUGGUUAUUCCACACUUGCACUACUCCAAUUGUUUGGGGUGUAUGCAUUGCCUGGGUUUCUUUGAAAACCCUUUGGAACUUUGUAACACCCUAAAGAGAAAGCCUUGGAUUUGGGAGCCUGGAUUUGGUGAAAGGUAUAUGUUGGACACUAAAGCUUCUUUGAGCAUCUUCGGGCUUCUUGUAAUUAUUGAUGUAUUUAGCUUAUUUCCUUUAACGUUUUUCUGCCCAGAUUUUGUAAAUAAAUUUGUAUAAAAGAACUCGAGGAUAUAGUGAAAGGGCACAUGGGAGGGGUUUUCUUUCUUGCAUCAAUUAAUGGUAGAAAUCAUGUCUAUAGGUCUACCUUACCACAAGAUCAUAUAGAUACCAUGUCAGUAAGGCUUUACAUUAUUGCAGAAUAUCAUAUAGAUACCAUGUCUAUAAGGUUUUACGUUGUUCAAUAUCAUAUAGAUACCAUGUCUAUAAGGCUUUACAUUAUUGCACAAUAUCAUAUAGAUACCAUGUCUAUAUGGCUUUAAAUUAUUGCAUUAAUAUCAUAGAGAUACCAUGUCUAUAAGGCUUUUCAUUAUUGCAUCAAUCUCAUGAUAGAAACCAUGACUAUAGGGCUUGCAUUAUCACAUCUCAUAAAGAAACCAUGCCUAUAAGUUUAAUGUCAUAUAUCAUAUAGAAACCAUGCUUAUAAGUUUUCAACAUUGCAUCUCACCUAGAAAGACAUGUCUAUAGGAACUGUAUAAAAUGCUAGGCAACCAGCAGGUCGACAAAAACGUGUAAAGUAGUAACAAAAAGGGUCAGUGUGCAUGUUAUAAGGUCCAAACUCGCCCAGUGCUUAAAACGUUUCAGCGUAGUUGUCCCAAAUCUAUUUACUUUUAAAUCGGGCGCAGGUUUUCCCUUUUACACUACUCUACUAAGUCUGUGGUUUUGAACUACUUUGUCUGCCUAUGUUUAAUACUUUAAGGUACUUUUGAAAAUUUUCUGCUUGCGUCCUUUUUACUCAAAUAGUCCGGCUAAAUUGUAAGCUAUUUCUAAACCUUGCUGCAACAUCAACUCUUUUUUUAACAGACCUAUGUCUGAAGUAAUGUUCUCCUCUAAGAUUAACUGAUUUUCAAAAACUGUCAAUUCCUAAAAUGGGCCCGGGGAGCUCGAAGUAGAUUUUCCAUCUAACUUUUAUAUGUUAAUCUAAUCUGUCCGCUCUUCUAACCUCUUUUAAAGACCAAAUCAGUAUUUGAAGUCGUGCUAAACUUGUUGUUGUUAUGUUACGGGGUUUUAUAUGAGCCUUUGACUGUCUUAUUUGCAUACCUCUUAUGUGCUAUUUGUUUUGCUUGUCGUUCUAGUAUUUUUACCUUUGAAAAAUCCAUAUAUAUCCUAUCUCUCUCUCCCCCCUCUUAGGAUUAGAAGUCCUAAUACCCCAGGACUAUUAGGUUGGGAUGUCAUGUAUGUCCUAUCUCUCUCCCCCCCUCUUAGGAUUAGAAUUCCUAAUACCCCAGGACUAACAGGUUGGGACGGGUUUUAGCAUGCAAUAAGUAAACGAUACCAACGCGUUUAAAUACCUUAACGGGCCGGGAAGGGUAGAAUAUGGAGAUGAUGACCGUGCCCUAAUACCAUAUGUGACCCCUAUUUUGAGGAGUGUGUGCGGGGUAUUGCACCGAUGUGAUCCAUAAUAUAAUCAAAUCGAGGACCCAUUUCCUUUUUUAUUUGAAUCCACUAGGCAAUUGCCUAGGUUUGGUUUUUAAUUAAUAACAGAAAAGGAAAUACAACAAAUAGAAAAAGUACAAAUAAGGGGGACAAUAGCACCAGUAUUGUUACCCACAUAACUCAACCGGGCAAGCCUUAUUGGACUAAUCCUAUUGAGGCAUAAAUAUCCUCAUUAGCAAGCAUGCAAAAAGAAAGAACUAGUUAGAACUAGGCGCUCUAUGAUCAUCACAGAGUUUAUAACAUACUCUGUGACGAUAUUACAUAGAACUAUACUGAUGUGAUGGUAAAAUAAAAAGAUGAAGAAACCACCAUGGUGCUCUCUUUUCUCUACACUUGUGAAGUCUUCCAUUUGUAGAAUCUUGACUUCGUCCAACACUCUUUUCAAAAAGUAUUCAAAAAUCAUGCUUUUUUCUUCGAAUGAUUGGACUUUGUAGAUGUAGUUUGAAUGACUUUUUUUGUUUUGCACUUCUCAUUGAGAGUCUCCUUAGGUUUGCAUCUUCAUUUACUCUCUCGUCCCAACUCAUAUCCCUUGUGCGUGACUUCUUAUUUUUGCCACUACGAAUAGGUGAUAGAUCACCUUUUCUUGCCGCUUCCUCCAUACAUUCUUGUAACAUUUCAUCCUCUUCUCCCUGUUCAAAACAUUCUCUGCCAUAUUCACAGGUCGUGGGAUAUUUUUGGCAUUAUCAAGUGCCACCAAGGCAGCCUCUCAAUGUAUAGUUGCCGCCAUUGUUUGAUGUCCGCUGCUCUUGUUUGCAUGACCUGUGCUAAAUGAGGUUAGAUCCAAAGUGAUCAUCAUUGCCUUUGUAUCCUGAUGUUGCUUUCCUCUAUCCUUUUGUAUCACGUCGUCUUUCCUUUGUUUGCUUUAUUUACACGUUUAUCUAAAGUAAUGCUUUCUUUUCAAAUACAUUCUCUCUUCUAUUUUAUUUAACUUAUGCCUUUCCCUUUUCAAAAUUCCUAAGUUGUCCAANNNNNNNNNNNNNNNNNNNNNNNNNNNNNNNNNNNNNNNNNNNNNNNNNNNNNNNNNNNNNNNNNNNNNNNNNNNNNNNNNNNNNNNNNNNNNNNNNNNNNNNNNNNNNNNNNNNNNNNNNNNNNNNNNNNNNNNNNNNNNNNNNNNNNNNNNNNNNNNNNNNNNNNNNNNNNNNNNNNNNNNNNNNNNNNNNNNNNNNNNNNNNNNNNNNNNNNNNNNNNNNNNNNNNNNNNNNNNNNNNNNNNNNNNNNNNNCUAAGUUGUCCAAAUGUUUAUAUGUGAAUCUUAUCUGUCUACUUGCUUCAUCUCUUCAUAAAGUCACAUUAGCACGGCCGGGAACCACAGUAGUGGAUCUUGAGGGUGGCUAACACCUUCCCCUCGAGAUAAUCUCAAGCCCUUACCCGAACUCUGAUUUUCUUUCAAGAUACUCCUCUCAUCUUUACAAGUGUACUAAUGCACUAUAAUCAUUAGGUGGCGACUCUUCAAAUUCCAUAACCCAAUUCCCAAACGAUAAUGAGAGUUGUUUUGCCCAUAAUAUCGUAAAAUCCGAUUUUGUUUUUGAAAAAGGGGUCGUCGACAGGAACGUUAGUACCAUGGAAUAGUACUAGCAUGUAUAACUAAAAACCAUCUAAUUAGAAAGAACUUUCAUACAAGAAAAAGAAAUCACAAGUAUAACUCGAAACUUUAAAUGAUCACCACAUUAUCAAAUAAAAUAAUACUAUCACUUUGACAUCAUGUUUCUAUAGCUUUUAGCUUGGGGCAUUUCACACUAUUCAUCAUUGUUCACAAUACCACCGCUAUCUUGAGCGGAGUCCUAUCUCGAUCCGAUCAGCUAGGUUGCCUCUUUUGAGACAUAUACUUCAUUCACAAUCUCAUUUUCCCUUUUUCGGAAUUCAUUCACAAUACCACAGCUAUCUUGAGCGGAUUCCGAUCUUGGCCCGAUCGGCUAGGCUGCCUUUCUAAGGCAUUGUUCCCUUCUCAGUAAUCAUUUCAUUCGCGUAUAUCAUUUCAUAGGCACUUGGGGCCACAACUUAUCACAUUAUUCUUGGCACUAUGCUGCAUUUUUAUAUCGUUCCCAAUUGCAAUAUUAGCUUUGCCAUUUAGGACAGUAGGUGCACACAAGAUCAAUUUUAAUUGCAAGCGUAGAUAAGACUUUCCGUAUGUGGCACAUCUAUGAAACUUCAAUCUAAAUUUAAAGUCCAAGCAUUUCAAUAAUUCAUAUCUUUACCGUUUUCAAGUUAUCAAGAUAGCAUGUUGAUCAUGUUGAGACACAUUUUUCACGCAUAUACGGUUACAAAACCAAUUCACGUAAAAUAACAAGCAAUGCAAUAAUUCAACUUCAAUCUUACCAUAUUCACACAACGACGAUGAAGGCCAAUGACUAAAAAGGCGGGGUUUUGGCCAUACAUACCUCAAUAAAGCUUUUCUUAAUUCUUACAAAUACCAAGACUCUUAGCACUUCAAUCUAUAGCAUAAGAAUUACAAAUCGAACCAAGAAUUAGAGCCAUGGUUAAGAUUUUAGCUCGUUCAGGUAUACUAUCAAGCACCAAGUGUGCAUGGUGAUUUUAGGCCCCUUUUUGAAAGAGAUUUCUUCAGUGUUAUACUUCAAUGUUGUCUCUUUAGUUCUCAUCCUCCUCAUACCACAUUAUCUCUUAUGCAUGCAAGAUUAUUAGCCUUUUUUCCGAAGGACUCAAUUGAUAAUGACUUAUUUUAUAUAGAAAUUUCAAUAUUACAGAUUACGAAACAAGCUCUUACCUCUUUAAGGUGAAGAGCUAGCAACUCUCUUGACAAUCUUCAAGAUAUUGGGGUAAGAGUUGGGUGGGGAUUAGAUGAAGGUCACUCCCUCUCUCUCUAGAACUCCUUUUCUCACUCUAUCUUCAGUAAAAAUAACAUAGAGAAGGUCGGACCGGUUGUUUUUGAUGAGAUAGGGUUGGGUUUUAAAAAUUAAAAAAUAGGAGCCCCGACUUAGAUCUGCGAUCGCAAAGUUGACAUACGACCCACAAAAUGGACGACAAAAAUGCUCCCAAAAACCUGAACAGCCAUCUGGGUAUAUGACGGAAAUGCGGUUCGCAUACCUGUUCUGCGGUCAUAUAAUGCACCGAAGAACUGCCCUUCAUAAAAAUUUUAAGGGGAUUAUGUGGUGAAUAUGUGGCCCGCAUAUCGAUUAUAUGAUCGUAUAUUUGGCCGCAUAGUUUACCUCAAAUUAGCCAACACACUGACUGGCUCUACAGUGAUUAUGUGGUCCUCUUACCUAUAAUGCGACCUCUUAAUGGACCGCAGAAUCACACGUUUCUGGAAAAACAUGAUGGCUUAACUUUUUGAUGCACCAAUCAAUCAAAGGGUCUGAACCGGGGUGAGCAAGAAUAAGUUAAGGCUGAUCAACAGAACAGUUGCAUAACCUAAUUCCAUAUCUCCUCUACUUGAACCUUGGAUUAGGUGUAACGACAUGGUUGUAGCUUGGAUUCUAAAUAGUUUGGAUAGGGAAAUUAGGGAAACUGUAAUGUAUACUGAAAGUGCUGAAAAACUUUGGAAGGAAAUUGAGCGCAGAUUUGGUCAAGCCAGUGGAAUUAAGAUUUUUUAGAUCCAUAAGGAAAUUUCCUCGAUUAGCGAAGGUUCAUAAAGCAUCUCAUCAUAUUUUAACAGAAUCAAAAAGCUUUGCGAUGAGCGUUCCUUUUCUGUGUCAUAUCCUGAUUGUGUUUGUGGAUGCAAAGAGAUGUACCAAAAGCUCGAUGAAGAACAGAAGGUCCAUCAAUUUCUCAUGGGUUUGAACGAAUCAUACUCCACCAUUAAGGAACAUACAUAUGAGAGUCAGUCUAGUGUUAAAGCUAAUGUGCCAUCUCUUAAUUCUGAUUCUACUGCAUUCGUUGCUGGUGUUCAGAAGCCAUACCUUCAAAGGGUUAAUUUCGACACUCAAAGAGCUAGCCUUGAUCUUUCCAAAAAGAGCAAUAUGAUUUUUCGUUAUUGCAAAAAGCUUGCCAUCAAAUUGAGAAAUGCUACAAGCUUCAUGGUUACCCUUCUGGUUUUCAGGCUAAGUUCAAACGGACUGCAACAUUUGCUAAAGUGUUUGAUGUUCCACCUGUUGGACAUUCUGAAAAUUCUAUUGGUGAUACCAAAAAAGUUCAAUCAGAUGGUGGGAAUUCUAGUAUAACCAAGGAACAACUUGAUCAAUUACUGAAUCUUCUGCAUUCUCGAGCUUCUGGACAUCACAAGAGAUCUCUACUGGUUCUGCUCUGGUUCUGCUAACUUUGCAUGUGUGAUAGGUAAUCCUAAUUUUAAAUCUUGUGGUCUACUUUCUUGCAAUUUUUCUAAGGUAGAAGAUAGCACUUAGAUCAUAGAUUCUGGGUAAACUCAUCACAUGACCCCAAACUCUUCCUUUUUAACUGAUAUUAAACCUCUAGUCUUACCUUACCUUGUCACUUUACCAAAUGGUUAUUAGGUAAAAGUGACUUGUACAGGUACUCUUACCCUGUCCUCUGAAAUAUCUCUUACUCAUGUUCUCUUAGUAGCUUCUUUUAAGUAUAAUCUCAUUUCUCUUGCUCAACUAGUCUUGUAGCUGAAUUGUUUGGCUUAUUUUACCCUAUUACUUUUGUUUUGCAGGGCCCUUCUCUAAAGAAGCUAGUGGGUCUUGGUAGUCUUCAGAAUGGGCUCUACAUUCUCAAUCAUGCAAACCUUGUCACUUCUGAGUCUACUUUUC